CUGCAGCUGAAAGACAUGAAAGAACAGACGUGACGAGAUGCUGGGGACGGAGCAGCGGUCGCAGCGCUGUGAGGAAGGGCGGUACCCUCUCUGUGAAGGUGUCCAGUUUGUUGUCCAGGGUCAAAUGUAAACACCCACUCAGUCUGCUAUUAAGAGGUGCUGAAGCUUCUGCAGCACAGAGGUUGGUUAGAGGACGUUUGUUCAAAAGCAACACGACUUCAUCUGGAUGCAGGUCUGGAGUUGGUGUGUGAGAGAGUUCAGCAUCCUGACAGCCUGAUGGAUGAAGCUGUCUCUCCAUCUCAAACAGCUCUAACUACAUGCUUUAGCAAAGAGGAAACUUUGAAGCCUGAUCUUAAAAGCAGAGUUGGUUUCUCACCCCAUCAGCCUUCA